CCAAGGCUUUGAGUAGAAUUCACUAAAGCGCUGCGCCAUAUUCAUCGACGACGCUUUAGCAUCCCUUGGGCCGUAAGCAUUUUCACAUUGGGCUGGGCCCACAUUUGCUAGCCUAUCAAACAAACAGUCCAUCGCAGACUCUCACCGGUCGAGAGAGAGAGAGAAACAGAAUAGAGGUUGCAGAAACUGAUUAGUUCUCCGAUCAACGACCGCCGGAGAAGAAGAAGAAGAAGGAGAAGGAGAAGAUGCUUCCCACCAAUUCAUCGAAAGGGCGAACGAGCUCUUAUGCUCGACAGAAUCCCGUUUUCCCUCAAUACAUCCGCAGAAUAGUCAAGUGGCAACAAAUGGACAUUGAAUAUACUUUCUGGCAAAUGCUUAACCUAUGCACCUCUCCAAAAGUGGUAUAUCAGCACACUAAAUACCACAAACAAACAAAGAACCAAUGGGCACGUGAUGAUCCUGCAUUUAUUGUAAUAUGCAGUCUUCUUUUGAUAGUUGCUACUUUAGCUUACUGUGCUGCGUAUGACCAUAGUGCAGGGCAUGCUGUUUUUGUAAUUAUCUCAGUGUUGCUUUUUCAUUUUUUAGUAACCGGAGCUGUAUUGGCUACAUGUUGUUGGUUCUUGACAAACAAUUAUCUACGAGAGGAAGCUCCAAGCAGUCACGUGGUGGAACAACGGGUCGAAUGGUUGUAUGCAUUUGAUGUCCACUGCAACUCUUUCUUCCCAAUGUUCAUCAUGCUUUAUGUCGUACAUUAUUUUCUUUCCCCUAUCUUGGUUACUCAUGGUUUCAUUCCCCUUCUACUAUCAAAUUUGCUCUUCAUGAUUGCUGCAUCCUACUAUCAUUACCUCAAUUUUUUAGGUUACGAUGUAUUGCCCUUUUUGGAAAGGACCACGUUCUUCCUUUACCCAAUCGGCAUUGUCAUCGUCCUUUCACCUAUUUUUAUUUUGACGGGCUUCAAUCCAUCAAGGUAUUUCAUGAACAUUUACUUCAGCAGAGCGUUGUGAUCGCAGCUUAGACUUGUUAUAGGUACAUAUUACUACCUUAGAUACCCCUUCAGAUGCCACGAGCUGUAGGACAACCGAGAUGCAAUCAAUCAUUUACCGGUUUCAUUAUAUAUGCAAUCAAUCGUUUACCGGUUUCAUUAUAUCUUCAAUGGAACAACGGCCGUGUUUAUGGCAUAGUUCUCUGGUAUGGCCUUUUACAGUUAGGAAUGAUAAUUGUAAUUGAGGGGAGGUGUUAGUGUAUUUGUAUGGUGAAGCUAUUGAGUGUAAAGAUUUUGUUUUCUUGAUUGUGCACUAAUUGUCAAUGAUGAAACCACAGCUUCUUGCUUGCACUUUGCCU